UGGGCAACCUGCCCUCAGCUCUGGGACAACUCCGGGAAACCGGGCUAAUACCGGAUACGACCUUCCCUCGCAUGGGGGCUGGUGGAAAGUUUUUCGGCUAAGGAUGGGCUCGCGGCCUAUCAGCUAGUUGGUGUGGAUAAUGGCCCACCAAGGCGACGACGGGUAGCCGGCCUGAGAGGGUGACCGGCCACACUGGGACUGGGACACGGCCCAGACUCCUACGGGAGGCA
rnacentral:rRNA from 1 species